rnacentral:misc_RNA from 1 species
UACGUAGGAUGCAAGCGUUGUCCGGAAUCACUGGGCGUAAAGGGUCCGUAGGCGGUCUGGUAAGUCUCCUGUGAAAACUUCGGGCUCAACCCGAAGAGGUCGGGGGAUACUGCUGGACUUGAGACUGUCAGAGGCAGGUGGAAUUCCCGGUGUAGUGGUGAAAUGCGUAGAUAUCGGGAGGAACACCAGUGGCGAAAGCGGCCUGCUGGGGCAGUUCUGACGCUGAGGGACGAAAGCGUGGGGAGCAAACCGG